rnacentral:rRNA from 1 species
AAGGUAGCGAAAUUCCUUGUCGGGUAAGUUCCGACCCGCACGAAUGGUGUAACGAUUUGGGUACUGUCUCAACAAGGGACCCGGCGAAAUUGUAGUAUGUGUGAAGAUGCACAUUACCCGCGAUAGGACGGAAAGACCCCGUAGAGCUUUACUGUAGUUUAACAUUGGAUUCCGGUAACAUAUGCACAGGAUAGGUGGGAGGCGGAGAAGCAGUGAUUUCGGUUGCUGCAGAGCCGACGUUGGGAUACCACUCUUGUGUUACUGGGGUUCUAACCUGUGGCCGUGAUCCGGCACAGGAACAGUGUUAGAUGGGCAGUUUGACUGGGGCGGUCGCCUCCAAAAGAGUAACGGAGGCGUCCAAAGGUUCCCUCAGAAUGGUUGGAAACCAUUCGAAGAGUACAAAGGCAGAAGGGAGCCUGACUGCGAGACCGACAGGUCGAGCAGGGACGAAAGUCGGGCUUAGUGAUCCGGCGGUAUAGAGUGGAAUUGCCGUCGCUCAACGGAUAAAAGCUACCUCGGGGAUAACAGGCUUAUCUCCCCCAAGAGUCCACAUCGACGGGGAGGUUUGGCACCUCGAUGUCGGCUCGUCGCAUCCUGGGGCUGAAGCAGGUCCCAAGGGUUUGGCUGUUCGCCAAUUAAAGCGGCACGCGAGCUGGGUUCAGAACGUCGUGAGACAGUUCGGUCGCUAUCCAUCGUGGGCGCAGGAGAUUUGAGAAGAGCUGUCCUCAGUACGAGAGGACCGGGAUGGACGCACCAAGGGUGUAUCAGUUGUCACGCCAGUGGCACAGCUGGGUAGCCAAGUGCGGAUCGGAUAAACGCUGAAGGCAUCUAAGCGUGAAGCCGACUUCAAGAUAAGAUCUCCCAUCCGCAAGGAGUAAGGCCCCAUGUAGACCACAUGGUUGAUAGGUCGCAGGUGGAAGUGCAGUAAUGUACGCAGCUGAGCGAUACUAAUAGGCCGAGGGCUUGAUCAA